CGCGUAGGCGGUUAAAUCAGUCAGAUGUGAAAUCCCCGAGCUUAACUUGGGAAUUGCAUUUGAUACUGGAAAGCUAGAGUAUGGGAGAGGAUGGUAGAAUUCCAGGUGUAGCGGUGAAAUGCGUAGAGAUCUGGAGGAAUACCGAUGGCGAAGGCAGCCAUCUGGCCUAAUACUGACGCUGAGGUACGAAAGCAUGGGGAGCAAACAGGAUUAGAUACCCUUGUA
rnacentral:rRNA from 1 species